rnacentral:rRNA from 1 species
UUAAAUUGAAGAGUUUGAUCAUGGCUCAGAUUGAACGCUGGCGGCAGGCCUAACACAUGCAAGUCGAACGGUAACAGGAAGAAGCUUGCUUCUUUGCUGACGAGUGGCGGACGGGUGAGUAAUGUCUGGGAAACUGCCUGAUGGAGGGGAAUAACUACUGGAAACGGUAGCUAAUACCGCAUAACGUCGCAAGACCAAAGAGGGGGACCUUCGGGCCUCUUGCCAUCGGAUGUGCCCAGAUGGGAUUAGCUAGUAGGUGGGGUAACGGCUCACCUAGGCGACGAUCCCUAGCUGGUCUGAGAGGAUGACCAGCCACACUGGAACUGAGACACGGUCCAGACUCCUACGGGAGGCAGCAGUGGGGAAUAUUGCACAAUGGGCGCAAGCCUGAUGCAGCCAUGCCGCGUGUAUGAAGAAGGCCUUCGGGUUGUAAAGUACUUUCAGCGGGGAGGAAGGGAGUAAAGUUAAUACCUUUGCUCAUUGACGUUACCCGCAGAAGAAGCACCGGCUAACUCCGUGCCAGCAGCCGCGGUAAUACGGAGGGUGCAAGCGUUAAUCGGAAUUACUGGGCGUAAAGCGCACGCAGGCGGU